rnacentral:lncRNA from 1 species
GGUCAGAGCCGUCAGCGCCUUUGCAAAGGGAGGGGCAGUAUGAGAACGCUGACAUGAUGAGCGGCAUCGGAGCCAGCUGUGGAAGAAGACGACGACGAACGCGCGCGAGCAGUGGCACGAGCGCGUUCGCGUGGUUACACUCAACCCAAGAACGGGCGCCUAAGAGGUGCGCUUUCAAAUGAUCUUGGAGGACCUGAUGAGACAGAUUGGAACAACAUACUUAGAGGGCAUGGAUCAUUAUGAAAGCACCAUAUGUGAAGCUUGCGAGGGGAGCUGAGUGUCUGUGCGCUAAACCGUGCCUGGAAUAUCGAAUGAACAUGGUCAGUACAAAGAGGUGGUGAGAA